CUCCUACGGGAGGCAGCAGUGGGGAAUUUUGCGCAAUGGGGGAAACCCUGACGCAGCAACGCCGCGUGGAGGAUGAAGUAUCUUGGUACGUAAACUCCUUUCGAUAGGGAAGAUAAUGACGGUACCUAUAGAAGAAGCCCCGGCUAACUUCGUGCCAGCAGCCGCGGUAAUACGAGGGGGGCAAGCGUUGUUCGGAUUUAUUGGGCGUAAAGGGUGCGUAGGCGGUUUGGCAAGUCUUGUGUGAAAUCUUUGGGCUCAACCCAAAGCCUGCACGGGAAACUGCCGGGCUUGAGCAUGGGAGAGGUGAGUGGAAUUUCCGGUGUAGCGGUGAAAUGCGUAGAUAUCGGAAGGAACACCUGUGGCGAAAGCGGCUCACUGGACCAUAACUGACGCUGAGGCACGAAAGCUAGGGGAGCAAACAGGAUUAGAUACCCUGGUAGUCCUAGCCCUAAACGAUGAUUGCUUGGUGUGACAGGUACCCAAUCCUGUCGUGCCGAAGCUAACGCGAUAAGC
rnacentral:rRNA from 1 species